rnacentral:rRNA from 1 species
AAGGAAUAUUGCACAAUGGAGGAAACUCUGAUGCAGCGACGCCGCGUGAGUGAAGAAGGUCUUCGGAUCGUAAAACUCUGUCCUUGGUGACGAAAAAAAUGACGGUAGCCAAGGAGGAAGCCCCGGCUAACUACGUGCCAGCAGCCGCGGUAAUACGUAGGGGGCGAGCGUUGUCCGGAUUUACUGGGCGUAAAGGGUGAGUAGGCGGUAAUAUGUGUCAGAUGUAAAAGGCUAUGGCUUAACCAUAGUUAGCAUUUGAAACUGGAUUACUUGAGUGCAGGAGAGGUUAGUGGAAUUCCUAGUGGAGCGGUGAAAUGCGUAGAUAUUAGGAGGAACACCAGUGGCGAAGGCGACUUUCUGGACCGUAACUGACGCUGAGGCAUGAAAGCGUGGGGAGCAAACA